rnacentral:piRNA from 1 species
UUCCACUUUAAGGCCUGUGGAAGGGAUGC